rnacentral:rRNA from 1 species
UACGGAGGGUGCAAGCGUUGUUCGGAAUCAUUGGGCGUAAAGGGCGCGUAGGCGGCAUGACAAGUCACUUGUGAAAUCUCCGGGCUUAACUCGGAACGGUCAAGUGAUACUGUCGCGCUAGAGUGCGGAAGGGGCAAUCAGAAUUCUUGGUGUAGCGGUGAAAUGCGUAGAUAUCAAGAGGAAUACCUGAGGUGAAGACGGGUUGCUAGGCCGACACUGACGCUGAAGCGCGAAAGCCAGGGGAGCAAACGGG